GGUCCCGUAGCUCAGCAGGAUAGAGCAUCAGAUUCCUAAUCUGAGGGUCACGCGUUCGAAUCGCGUCGGGAUCA
rfam:Martelella mediterranea DSM 17316 strain MACL11, complete genome.